rnacentral:rRNA from 1 species
CCUACGGGUGGCAGCAGUGAGGAAUAUUGGUCAAUGGACGAGAUUCUGAACCAGCCAAGUAGCGUGAAGGAUGACUGCCCUAUGGGUUGUAAACUUCUUUUAUAAAGGAAUAAAACGAGGCACGUGUGCCUUUUUUCAUGUACUUUAUGAAUAAGGAUCGGCUAACUCCGUGCCAGCCGCCGCGGUAAUACGGAGGAUCCGAGCGUUAUCCGGAUUUAUUGGGUUUAAAGGGAGCGUAGAUGGGUUGUUAAGUCAGUUGUGAAAGUUUGCGGCUAAACCGUAAAAUUGAAAUUGAUACUGGCAGUCUUGAGUACAGUUGAGGUAGGCGGAAUUCGUGGUGUAGCGGUGAAAUGCUUAGAUAUCACGAAGAACCCCGAUUGCGAAGGCAGCUUACUAAACUGUGACUGACAUUGAUGCUCGAAAGUGUGGGUAUCAAACAGGAUUAGAUACCCGGGUAGUC